rnacentral:rRNA from 1 species
CGGCUCAGUAACACGUGGAUAACCUACCCUCAGGUGGGGGAUAACCCCGGGAAACUGGGGAUAAUACCCCAUAGACCAGGGACGCUGGAAUGCCCCCUGAUCGAAAGGUCCGCCGCCUGAGGAUGGGUCUGCGGCCGAUUAGGUUGUUGUUGGGGUAACGGCCCAACAAGCCUUUGAUCGGUACGGGUUGUGAGAGCAAGAGCCCGGAGAUGGAUUCUGAGACACAAAUCCAGGCCCUACGGGGCGCAGCAGGCGCGAAAACUUUACAAUGCGAGAAAUCGUGAUAAGGGAACCCCGAGUGCCCGUAAAUUCGGGCUGUCCAUCAGCGUAAAAAACUGGUGAAGAAAGGGCCGGGCAAGACCGGUGCCAGCCGCCGCGGUAAUACCGGCGGCUCGAGUGGUGGCCACUAUUACUGGGCUUAAAGCGUCCGUAGCUGGAUUGUUAAGUCUCUUGGGAAAUCCGCCGGCUUAACCGGCGGGCGUUCAGGAGAAACUGGCAAUCUAGGGACCGGGAGAGGUGAGAGGUACUCCAGGGGUAGGAGUGAAAUCCUGUAAUCCUUGGGGGGCCACCUGUGGCGAAGGCGUCUCACUAGAACGGCUCCGACAGUGAGGGACGAAAGCUGGGGGAACAAACCGGAUUAGAUACCCGGGUAGUCCCAGCUGUAAACGAUGCGCGUUAGGUGUAUCGGUGACCACGAGUCAUCGAGGUGCCGAAGGGAAACCGUGAAACGUGCCGCCUGGGAAGUACGGUCGCAAGGCUGAAACUUAAAGGAAUUGGCGGGGGAGCACCACAACGGGUGGAGCCUGCGGUUUAAUUGGACUCAACGCCGGGAAGCUCACCGGAUAAGACAGCUGGAUGAUAGCCGGGCUGAAGACUCUGCUUGACUAGCUGAGAGGUGGUGCAUGGCAAUCGUCGAACGGGCAAGCG